rnacentral:rRNA from 1 species
GUGGGGAAUUUUGCGCAAUGGGGGGAACCCUGACGCAGCAACGCCGCGUGCGGGAUGAAGGCCUUCGGGUUGUAAACCGCUUUCAGCAGGGAAGAUAGUGACGGUACCUGCAGAAGAAGCCCCGGCUAACUACGUGCCAGCAGCCGCGGUAAUACGUAGGGGGCGAGCGUUAUCCGGAUUCAUUGGGCGUAAAGCGCGCGUAGGCGGCCCGUCAAGCGGAACCUCUAACCCGAGGGCUCAACCCCCGGUCGGGUUCCGAACUGGCAGGCUCGAGUUUGGUAGAGGAAGAUGGAAUUCCCGGUGUAGCGGUGGAAUGCGCAGAUAUCGGGAAGAACACCGAUGGCGAAGGCAGUCUUCUGGGCCAUCAACUGACGCUGAGGCGCGAAAGCUGGGGGAGCGAACAGGAUUAGAAACCCCGGUAGUCC